AACGGCCGUACCAUGCUGAAUAUACCGGUUCUCGUUAGAUCACCGAAGUGAAGCAUCAUUGGGCGCGGUGGGUGACCACCUGGGAACACCGCGUGUCGUU